AUUUUUUCACAAUUUUUUAGAAAGCUUUUAGCUUUUAGACAAAAGGGACUUUAAUGGCCAACCUUCCUUAAGAGAUUCUUGAGACGAAGGCUUCUCGAGACUUCUAUACAGAGUGACUAGUUCAAUACUCUUCUUUAUUAGGACAACUCACCUACUUCUUCUCUUCUCGUCUCAUCAAUCUCACCACUUUUCUCAGCGAUCAGCGAACGCGGUAAUCAAAGAGAAAAAAACCACGAAAGGGCUCAAGCCAGGGCUGGUCAAAAGCCCAAGAAUCCCAAGAACGAUGGAUUGACCUCCGAACAACGCCGAGAAAGAGAUGCGAAAGCACUUUAGGAGAAGUUAGCUAGAAAAUCUGCACAGACUGGAGGAGGAAAAAAUGGUGUUCUUGGAGGUAAAAACUAGAGUGGGAAUUCAUUAUGAGCAUUUAGCUUAGAUUUGUGGGAAUAUCAUAUUGAAUUAGAUGUGAAAUUGUCUUGGUUUCUGGUCAUGUAGUUUAUGUCAUUCGAGAUAAACAAUUGAUUGUGUUGUUGUCCUUGUAAGGCAUUGAUGUUGGCUAUUAACUAAACCUUUCACUUCUUAUAAUAAUAUGAUUUGGAAUGAAA